rnacentral:rRNA from 1 species
UAAACUGGGAUUAGAUACCCCACUAUAUGGGGCAUUAAUUUUAUAGGCCUAAGCAGUAACAUCUUGAAGGUGGAAACUUAAAGAGCAUGGCGGCUCUGGAAACCCUCAGGGGAACUUACUAGGUAAAUGACAACCCACAAGAAGCGCAUCUUGUCAUCAAAGCUUGUAUACCGCCGUCUCCAGGCCAAUCUUAAGGAUUAGCCAGCUACCAACAAGACAGGUCAAAGUGCAGCCUAUAGACAAGUCUCAGCGAGUUACAGUAAUAGGUUUAUGCGGGGUGACAGCUUAAACGCUGUUACCUGGAUGGACUUGAAAGUAAUUUAUAAUAUAGAAUACUAAGUGAAUAGCACAUUCCAGAGUGUACACACCGCCCGUCACCC